rnacentral:lncRNA from 1 species
ACUUAUUAUAUAGAUGGCUAAGUGAAAGCAAAGAGCUUUAGAAGCAAUUGCAUCUCCAUGGUGACAAAACCACAAUGUCUCAUUUAUGCUCCAGGAUUCCCAGGAAUAUGGAAAUUUCACAUGCACAAUCCAAUUCACCUUCCUUGAAAUCCUGCAUCAUACCAUUUUGCUUAGAAGUAAGCACACAGACAAACAGGUCAAAAUCUGUGGUGCCACCCAUCACAAAGACAAACCUGGUGAAGCUUCCUUUUCUUCAUGUAAUGAUGAGUCUGACUUCUUGUGAGACACUUUCAUCACAGCAGCAACACAAAAAAUGUGAAUUGUAUCCAGAUAGUGCAAUACCUCUCCUGGCACCUUGGAUCUCUCAGAUAACUUCCAGAAUUGAGAGGAAGCAUAAAGCAUUCUCCUACACUGGGAAUUGAUACAUUUUCCAUGUUCUCCAUGAGCUCACUUCAGCAACCUCCACUCUGUCCAUCAGACUUGGGUCUGUGGUGCAGAAGCUGAUUCACCCCUCCUGCCCCUUAUUGACCCCCCUCAUCCCCCCCUGCACCACGAGCUCGUUUUUAACAGCCUCCCCUCACAUUUUCAGUCCUGCUCUGGGCUGCUAAAGCAUCUUUCUCAUGAGGACACCCCUUAACAGGAUUAAGCAGCUGUAUUAAAUCCAAAUUGAAUUGUGGACUCGUUGUGCCCACAUUUGAUUCUAUUACAGAUUGUAUUUGUUUCAUUUCAUUAUUUACUGCUAGAGAAUGAACAACUUUUAGCAGCAGGCAUCAGACUUAUGGAGCUGAGGCCCAGCCUGCCUAAUCAGAGUUAGCCAAGCUGCAGACUCC